rnacentral:rRNA from 1 species
GUGGCCAAGUUUUUAAGGGCGCACGGUGGAUGCCUUGGUACCAGGAACCGAUGAAGGACGUGGGAGGCCGCGAUAGGCCCCGGGGAGCUGUCAACCGAGCUUUGAUCCGGGGGUGUCCGAAUGGGGAAACCCGGCAGUCGUCAUGGGCUGUCACCCGCUGCUGAAUGUAUAGGCAGUGUGGAGGGAACGCGGGGAAGUGAAACAUCUCAGUACCCGCAGGAAGAGAAAACAACCGUGAUUCCGGGAGUAGUGGCGAGCGAAACCGGAUGAGGCCAAACCGUAUGUGUGUGAUACCCGGCAGGGGUUGCAUGUACGGGGUUGUGGGAUUGCGCUUCAUGGUCUGCCGGCGGCUGGGUGAGUCAGAAACCGUCAUGAUAGGCGAAGGACAUGCGAAAGGUCCGGCGUAGAGGGUAAGACCCCCGUAGCUGAAACAUUGACGGCUCACUUGCGUUAUUCCCAAGUAGCACGGGGCCCGAGAAAUCCUGUGUGAAUCUGGCGGGACCACCCGCUAAGCCUAAAUAUUCCCUGGUGACCGAUAGCGGAUAGUACCGUGAGGGAAUGGUGAAAAGUACCGCGGGAGCGGAGUGAAAUAGUACCUGAAACCGUGUGCCUACAAGCCGUGGGAGCGUCGCGCAAGGACUUGUCCUUGCGUCGUGACUGCGUGCCUUUUGAAGAAUGAGCCUGCGAGUUUGCGGUGUGUUGCGAGGUUAACCCGUGUGGGGAAGCCGUAGCGAAAGCGAGUCCGAACAGGGCGCUGUAGUAGCACGCUCAAGACCCGAAGCGGAGUGAUCUAGCCAUGGGCAGGUUGAAGCGGCUGUAAGAGGUCGUGGAGGACCGAACCCACCAGGGUUGAAAACCUGGGGGAUGACCUGUGGUUAGGGGUGAAAGGCCAAUCAAACUCCGUGAUAGCUGGUUCUCCCCGAAAUGCAUUUAGGUGCAGCGUCGUGUGUUUCUUGCCGGAGGUAGAGCACUGGAUAGGCGAUGGGCCUUACCGGGUUACUGACCUUAGCCAAACUCCGAAUGCCGGUAAGUGAGAGCACGGCAGUGAGACUGUGGGGGAUAAGCUCCAUGGUCGAGAGGGAAACAGCCCAGAGCAUCGACUAAGGCCCCUAAGCGUACGCUAAGUGGGAAAGGAUGUGGAGUCGCAGAGACAACCAGGAGGUUGGCUUAGAAGCAGCCACCCUUGAAAGAGUGCGUAAUAGCUCACUGGUCUAGUGAUUCCGCGCCGACAAUGUAGCGGGGCUCAAGCGUACCGCCGAAGUCGUGUCAUUGCAGCAAUACUCCCAACGGAGGCUGUGAUGGGUAGGGGAGCGUCGUGUGCCGGGUGAAGCUGCCGCGUAAGCGAGUGGUGGACGGUUCACGAGUGAGAAUGCAGGCAUGAGUAGCGAUUCACACGUGAGAAACGUGUGCGCCGAUUGACUAAGGGUUCCUGGGUCAAGCUGAUCUGCCCAGGGUAAGUCGGGACCUAAGGCGAGGCCGACAGGCGUAGUCGAUGGAUAACCGGUUGAUAUUCCGGUACCCGCUGUGAAGCGUCAAACAUUGAAUCCAGUGAUGCUAAGCCCGUGAAGCCGCCCUGAUCUCUUCGGAGUUGAGGGGAGUGGUGGAGCCGGUGACCCAGGCUGGUAGUAGGUGAGUGAUGGGGUGACGCAGGAAGGUAGUCCAUCCCGGGCGGUGGUUGUCCCGGGGUAAGGGUGUAGGG